AUGGGUCUCUGCUCAUGGGUGUCUGUGUUGGUGUGUGGACAUGUGUCCAGGUGGUCUGUGAGUCUGGGCUCCUGCGGGUGUAUGCCCCGAUGUAUGAACCUAUUUUUUUCUGUCUCUAUGUGCAGGGAUUUGUGUGUACUGUGUACACACCACUCCAAGUGGUUCUGCCUGAACCUUCAGCCUCCCCGGGGCCUUGGGUCCGAUGCGUAUGGCCGGACUCUGCUCAUUUGCGUGGGGAACCGCGUAUGUCUUCAGGGAUGCAUGUGGGCUCAGGGUGUGUACAGGCCACUCCUACCAGGUCCCACAUGUGCCUGGGAGCGCAGGGACACUGCGAGCAGCCCGGGACCCAGCCCUGGUGGGGACAGAGCGCUGGCCUGCGCUGCAGUGACGGGUUUGCUUUUUGCUCGACUCUUCGAGAGAGAGACGGAGUGAAGAGGUGAGAGCAGCGUCCACCCGGCUGGGACCGCCAUCUCACGGCCUUUCUGCUGGCUCCUCCCUCUGCUGCCCUGUUCAGUUUCCAGCCCACGGCAGGGGAUUGGAGACACGGAGACCUCCUUGUCCCCUCCACCUGCCCUUCCAGGUUUCAAUGUUUUUUUUUUCUUAUUCUGCAUGCAUUUUUCCUUUUUGAGAAAAAUGAGAUGUUGGCUCCCGUGGAGAAAAAGUAAUAUAUAUAAAUAUAUUUCUUAUAGCAGAGGAGGAAAGAUACAGAAAAGCACAUAAAAAAGACGGUCAUUUGUGCUCUCUACCCGCCCCUCCCACCUAGAGAGGUUGGGACAUGUUUCUGGGGUGUGUGUCCAUCUGGGUCUGUUGCCUCUUCUCUGCCCACUGGCCUCCGUGUCUGUCUCUGUCUCUCCAUCCUCUGGCCCACAGACACGGGCUCUCCCUCUGGACUGCCAGCCUCUUGGUUCUUUGAGACAUUCAUUCGUAAAACUUGUUCCAAAGAGGAAACCGCCACCCCCCACCCCCCACGGCCCCUGCGGCUUUGUGACUGCACGUGCCUCCCUGUGUAUCUGUGUGAGUCCCCUGUGCUGGCUCUGUCUUUCUCAGCCCCUUCCCUGCCUCCCUUUCUCUACAGUUUCACUGACCUCCCUUCCAGGAAUUGCGGUUCCUCAGUGUGUAAUGUGUGCAUGUGCGGUGUGCGUGGCGUGUGGAGCAUGUGGGUGUUCCUGACCCUUCCAGGCUGUGGCCCCGCGCUGCCGUUCGUCUCUUUUCUCAUCCUCUGCCCCUUCGUCUCUUCCCUCCCUCCCCUCCUAAAAAUUCCAACCAGACCUCGUGCUGGACACACACACACAGUCCCUCGUCUUUUUCUCUCAUCUCUGUCUUCUUUUCCCAUUUUUCUCUUGGGGCUCCAGAAAGCUGUGGUUUGCAGAAAGAAAGAGAGAGACCGACAGAAACACAGAAAUAGAGAAGGAACUGGCCGGGAAGAGACGUGGA
rnacentral:lncRNA from 1 species